rnacentral:rRNA from 1 species
UACGAAGGGGGCUAGCGUUGUUCGGAUUUACUGGGCGUAAAGCGCACGUAGGCGGUUUGUUAAGUCAGGGGUGAAAUCCCACAGCUCAACUGUGGAACUGCCUUUGAUACUGGCAGCUAGAGUCCGGAAGAGGUAAGUGGAACUCCUAGUGUAGAGGUGGAAUUCGUAGAUAUUAGGAAGGAACACCAGUGGCGAAGGCGGUCUACUG